rnacentral:rRNA from 1 species
ACCCUUUAAUGUUUGAUGUUCUAACGUGGACCCGUAAUCCGGGUUGCGGACAGUGUCUGGUGGGUAGUUUGACUGGGGCGGUCUCCUCCUAAAGAGUAACGGAGGAGCACGAAGGUUGGCUAAUCCUGGUCGGACAUCAGGAGGUUAGUGCAAUGGCAUAAGCCAGCUUGACUGCGAGCGUGACGGCGCGAGCAGGUGCGAAAGCAGGUCAUAGUGAUCCGGUGGUUCUGAAUGGAAGGGCCAUCGCUCAACGGAUAAAAGGUACUCCGGGGAUAACAGGCUGAUACCGCCCAAGAGUUCAUAUCGACGGCGGUGUUUGGCACCUCGAUGUCGGCUCAUCACAUCCUGGGGCUGAAGUAGGUCCCAAGGGUAUGGCUGUUCGCCAUUUAAAGUGGUACGCGAGCUGGGUUUAGAACGUCGUGAGACAGUUCGGUCCCUAUCUGCCGUGGGCGCUGGAGAACUGAGGGGGGCUGCUCCUAGUACGAGAGGACCGGAGUGGACGCAUCACUGGUGUUCGGGUUGUCAUGCCAAUGGCACUGCCCGGUAGCUAAAUGCGGAAGAGAUAAGUGCUGAAAGCAUCUAAGCACGAAACUUGCCCCGAGAUGAGUUCUCCCUGAGACUUAAAGUCUCCUGAAGGAACGUUGAAGACGACGACGUUGAUAGGCCGGGUGUGUAAGCGCAGCGAUGCGUUGAGCUAACCGGUACUAA